UACAGAGGUCUCAAGCGUUGUUCGGAUUCAUUGGGCGUAAAGGGCGCGUAGGCGGCGGGGUAAGUCGGGUGUGAAAUCUCAGAGCUCAACUCUGAAACUGCACUCGAUACUGCUUUGCUAGAGGACUGGAGAGGAGAUUGGAAUUCACGGUGUAGCAGUGAAAUGCGUAGAUAUCGUGAGGAAGACCAGUGGCGAAGGCGGAUCUCUGGACAGUUCCUGACGCUGAGACGCGAAGGCGUGGGGAGCGAACGGG
rnacentral:rRNA from 1 species